rnacentral:tRNA from 1 species
UUUUAGGUGGCAGAUUUAAUGCCUAGGUUUUAAGAACCUAUCAUACUUAAUAG